rnacentral:rRNA from 1 species
GUCGAGAAUUUUUCACAAUGGGGGAAACCCUGAUGGAGCGACGCCGCGUGGGGGAUGAAUGGCUUCGGCCCGUAAACCCCUGUCAUUUGCGAACAAUGCUCCGCGCCUAACACGCGCGGAGUUGAUAGUAGCGAAAGAGGAAGGGACGGCUAACUCUGUGCCAGCAGCCGCGGUAAUACAGAGGUCCCAAGCGUUGUUCGGAUUCACUGGGCGUAAAGGGUGCGUAGGUGGUCGGGUAAGUCUGAUGUGAAAUCCCGGAGCUCAACUCCGGAACGGCAUUGGAUACUAUCUGGCUGGAGGGUUGGAGGGGGGACUGGAAUUCUCGGUGUAGCAGUGAAAUGCGUAGAUAUCGAGAGGAACACCGGUGGCGAAGGCGAGUCCCUGGACAACUCCUGACACUGAGGCACGAAAGCUAGGGGAGCAAACAGGAUUAGAUACCCCAGUAGUCC